UACGUAGGGGCCUAGCGUUGUCCGGAUUCACUGGGCGUAAAGGGUGCGUAGGCGGUCGGGUAAGUCUGAUGUGAAAUCUCACAGCUUAACUGUGAAACUGCAUUGGAUACUAUUCGGCUAGAGAGUUGGAGGGGGGACUGGAGUUCUUGGUGUAGCAGUGAAAUGCGUAGAUAUCAAGAGGAACACCAGUGGCGAAGGCGAGUCCCUGGACAACUUCUGACGCUGAGGCACGAAAGCUAGGGGAGCAAACAGG
rnacentral:rRNA from 1 species